CGUACACUCCUGCGGGAGGCAGCAGUGGGGAAUAUUGCACAAUGGGCGCAAGCCUGAUGCAGCCAUGCCGCGUGUGUGAAGAAGGCCUUCGGGUUGUAAAGCACUUUCAGCGGGGAGGAAGGCGAUACGGUUAAUAACCGUGUUGAUUGACGUUACCCGCAGAAGAAGCACCGGCUAACUCCGUGCCAGCAGCCGCGGUAAUACGGAGGGUGCAAGCGUUAAUCGGAAUUACUGGGCGUAAAGCGCACGCAGGCGGUCUGUCAAGUCGGAUGUGAAAUCCCCGGGCUCAACCUGGGAACUGCAUUCGAAACUGGCAGGCUUGAGUCUUGUAGAGGGGGGUAGAAUUCCAGGUGUAGCGGUGAAAUGCGUAGAGAUCUGGAGGAAUACCGGUGGCUAAGGCGGCCCCCUGGACAAAGACUGACGCUCAGGUGCGAAAGCGUGGGGAGCAAACAGGAUUAGAAACCCUAGUAGUCCCAU
rnacentral:rRNA from 1 species